UUCAGUGCCGGGCAGAAGGGAACCUGCUGUGGGAAGAGCAGAGCCAGCUUUGCAUGGGAACACCUCGUCCAAGGACAGCAUCCAGAGAAACAGGGUGAGAGAUCCAGUGCACGUGCAUGCAGGCAAUGAAAAAGAUUCCUGUGUGUUAAAUAUAGCACCAGGCACAGCUUUCCUGUGAGGCAGCUCCGUUUCAGGCUGCAGCAGAAACAUCGGGCACCACACCGUGGAAAAUAAAGGACAGAGAAUCACCAGCAUUGAGUUAGACACCACCCAGAGAGAGCUUCACCACCACUGAAAGCAGAGAUCCAGAGCAAAGGAAGAUUUUUGUGGCACCUGGGAGGAGAUGGGAAGUUUAUUCCACCCCUGUGUUGUGGGAUUCCG